ensembl:lncRNA novel transcript
ACUCUUGGAUUUACUGCUCUGUGAGAAGACAGCUAUCGUGUCAUGAGGAAACUCAAGCAGCCCUACCAAAAAAUCCAUGUGGCAAGAAACUGAGGCUGUUUGAUAACACCCAGCAUCAACUUGUCAACCAACUGAGUGAGCCAUCUUGGACGGGGAUCCUCUAGCCCCAGGCCAGCCUUCAAAUAUCCAUAGCCCUGACCAAUGCCUGAAUAUAACUUCUGUACAGACCCUGAUCAAGAACUACCCAGCUAAGUAGCUUCUACAUUCCUGGCCCAUAGAAACUAAAACUACUAAUUUGACUUUCCAAGAUGUCACCAUUGCCCUGUGGAGAGACACAAAAAGGCCUUGGGGCUAUUGCCAAGUGUUGAAAUACCUGAACUCAGACUUCAGUUGAAGGCAAUGAUGACACCUACCCCACCGUAGCCUGAGAAGGCAUCUCUGGGAAGAAGUCGCCUAACUUAUGCCCAAAGCAUCCAUGUGUUUAUGCCUGCCUCAAGGAAGCAUGGAAAGAAAUUGAAGGGACUAGCGGAUAUAUGGUGCCACAUAAAUUUAUUUGCCUAAGGCAAGAUAGAGAGCUUUGGACAAUUUCCUCAAAGGAGCUGUUACUUUGAAAAGCUUGACAACCCACAGGUUCAUGACUCCAGAGGGAAGAGAUGCCUGGGGAAGAGACCAGUGUGAAGAAACACAGGGAAGAAUCCCUGACCCCUUGGGUCCCCUGUCGCUACCCUGAACUAAUCAUUGUAGCCUGAAUGUUCAGACCUGAAUUAUGUGCCCACCUCUAUGGCCAAAAAGUUAAGGCCCUGUAAUUGGCCACCCCAUCAGAAUCACAGGAAUGUAGGGAGAAGGGAGUAGUUCUUUCAAGAAGGAGUAGGAGACGCAGUUACCAGAGUAAGAAAUGCAGGGCCGACAAAAAUAGCAGAUGCCGACUAUACUCCUGAUGUGUGCACAACUCACCAGAAGAGCUUGCUAAAAUGCAGAGUUUGAUUCAAAAAGCCUUUGGCAGGGCCUGAGGUUCUAUAUUUCUUACAAGAUCCCAGAUGAUGUCACAGACCACACCCAGGCAGCAAGGCACUAGCCUUCUUCCACGCAUUGCCCUGAUCGUCUAAUGGGGCAGAUGCUCUAAAGCUCGGGGCUCCCCAGCAGGGACGAAUGCAAUCUCACAUGCUUGUCUGAGUGUUGUGCCUUUUCAGGACCAGCUGUGCUCCCGUCACAACACUGAAAUAGAAGAGGUGUUACACGUCAGGAUUGAGACAUAUGGGCAGAACUCUGUGAUAAAAACACUUUACAAUUUCAUAUCACCUUUCAUUCCAGAGUGUUUAGAGGCCAUAUACAUUCAGCACCACAGAAAGAUGAUAGAGGAAGCAGACUCCAUGGGGUGAAGGAGGUGGCAAGAGAUGGAGUGGGGGUGGGGGAAUCUGUAAGUCAAGCAUAGUGGGACAUUUCUCUGCAAAAGUCAACACAACACCAAAAAUGUAAAAGAGAAAAAAAAAAGCAAAUGAAGAUCUUUAAGGUUUAUGUUGAAACAGCAAUAGUACAUAAGUUAAUGUUCAGGAUCAUUUUCAUGGAGUCAUCUUAAUCUAGGCAACUCCAUAAGUUGCCUAGAUAUGUUGGUACUCUGUGAGCACAGAUGGAAAAAAAGGAAAUCAGAAAUGAGCUAAACAAAUAAGAAGAUUAAAAAUAUUAUCAGAAAAUCUAUAAGGUCUGAGUCUAGCAACCCCAGCUUAUAUAAGGUAUGUCAGUUUUCUUAAUUAAAUGAUUAAGUCUCAAAAUCUUGAAGGGCAGUUUUCGAUCACAUGUUCUCUGGCAUGGGAAGUAGCCUUUUGUUUCAGAGCAUUUAGUAAAAGAAAGGACUUUUCUAAAUGCUACAAAAUGCAAACAUGUAACUUAACCUUGAUACUCCUGAUAACAAUAGGGGUAGUUAAUAUUUGUCCUGGGGAAAAAAAAGUCACUUUAUGACAGAGGUUGAAAAUGGAAACUAACUUUUAAUGACUCCAGGAGUGUUUGCCUGUAAAAGAAAUCCACAUUCGAGCACUGCUGUUUCCCAUUUGUUAUCAAGGACUCCUGAGGGGCUUCCAGUGACUUGGAAGGAGUUCUAUUUUCACUUCUUCUGGCUCCUGUGACUAUGUCUAACAGCUGAUAAAUGAAGACCCACAAGCUCCCACAGGAUGGUUUCAAAGGGAAUGUGCUCCAGGCAGUAUGUAGCCACCUGCCAGGGAAGCACAUAUCAGAUCAAAACGGCAAGGAGAGAAAUCUUUUCCCUGUUUCACAUUUCCUGGUGUUUCCAGUGAAUUCAUUCUAUUAAUCUACUUUGUGAAAUAUUUAGUACCUCUGCUUAUUUAUGAGCAUCCACAAAAUCUUCAAGAUAACAAGAAAAAAGGGAACAGGGAUUCUUAGACCAGAAAUGCGUCUUUCGUUCUUUUUUGUUCACCGUCUGCCUUCCCUUGUUUCUUCUCCCACUCAUGCUUAAGACAAGGUGGUGAAGCCUUCCCCAGCAAGCAGAUAACAGUAGUCACUCCAUCAGGAGAAUGGAAUUUUAAAUCACAGCAUUAUUGUUUUGUCAGAGAGAAAAUCAUGGUACUUCUAGAGCUCAGAAAGGGAUUUUCCAGUACAGAUAUUUUCUUUAUAACAGAAACUCCUCAUUUUUAUUAGGAAAUACAUUAAAAUGACUUAUUACUCUUGUGCCCUCACACAGUAAUUUUGGGCUCCUGGCAGAGUCCUGGUCAAAAGCCUAUUUUUAUAAAUCAUGGGAAGUGGCUGUUGCAGCUGGUUAUCUCUUAGGAUUCUGUCAGUUCCACAACGAGAAAUGGUGCUGCCACGCUCACUCCAAAGGAAGGUGGUGGUGAAGUGUGGGUUUCAGAUAAGGAUUUACACUGAGAGGCCAGCUCUAGAAACUACACAAAAGAUAAUAGAUAGGAGACGGGCAAGGAGAAAGUUACAGUCAUAAAAUUAGAGUUAUUACAAACAGGCAAAUAAAUGAACACGUUCCAUUCUGGUUUGCUUUUACAUUUGGCAAUAGCACAAAAACAAAAUUGAAUAUGUAUCUUGUGAAUUAAAAUAAUCUACUAUGCCAGCUUGAAAGAGAAAGUUACCAAUUAAAUGGCGUAUUUUAGAUAUCCAAUCAUCUUUGUUUGAUUCAGCAUUUGACUUAUUAACUGAUAGUCCAUUUGCUUCUCAAAAACUUUAGGGUACCUCAACAUUCAACGAAUGUCAACCACAUCCAUAUGAGUUGAGCAUUUACUCUGUCCAGGCACAGUUCUAAGAAUUGGGCAUUUGUGGUAGUCAAGACAAGCAUGCCUCUGCCUCUCAGAGCUGACAGUCUAGCAGUGUAGUCUAGUUAGCAAGGAGAAUGGAAUUGUUCAUAUGUGGUGAUUGAAACCAGAACAGUGCUACUAAGAGCACUGUGACCACUGAAUCAUCAGCUACAUUGUAGAAACUCACUUAUUAAGUGUAAGUGUUAUCCCUAAUAUAAAGGGUACCACAUCACCUUUAGAUUCUACAAAGUCUCUGUCUGCUAAGUCCACACUCAUCAAAGACACUUUAGCAUGGAUACCAAAAUAUGUCCAGAACAGUUUCAGUCGAAUUCAAUUUAAGUCCAUAAGCAUCCAUCGAGUGUCUCUGAAGUGUAAAGCACAUUGUUUGGUCGUUACACCCACUCUUAGGUUGUCUAUAAUGGCAUUCAGGAGAUAUUUACAUAAAGAACAGGAAUGGAAAGCAGAAUGUAGUGGACAUUCUGUAAGAGAAGUUUAAAUUUAAGGUCUAGGUAUACUUGGGGAGAAAAUGUUAACUUUAGCUCAGAUGACUAGGGAAGAUCUCUAUAGAUAAAGUUUCAAGAACACCAUGAAGGUUGAGAGGAUCUCAUCAGAUUGGUUGGGUGAAGGCAGAAGAAUGCAAAGAUUAAGAAUUAGCAGUGCAAGGUGAUGGUCAGAAUUCUAACACCGUCUUACUAGUUGCAUGACUUACGCCAGUUUCUUAUUUGUAAAUGACAGUUAGAAAGAUUAAAUCAUAGGCUUGUUGUUGGGACUAAAGACAAUGAUUCAUGUAAAGUGCCUUACACAGUGCCUUUUAUAUAAGUACACAAUAAAUAUUAGUCUCUAUUAUUGUUACAGAAUAAGCAUAGAGGAAUGAAAACAGACAAGUACAGGGCAUGCAAGAGGAAUAGCUGAUGAAGUCCAUGAAGACCUCAUUGAAAAAGGGAGCUAGAGGACAGAUUAUUGAGGGCCUCAAAAUAAGAAAAAGUAAUAUGGCCUUUAUUGUAUAAAAAAAUAAGAAACCACUCAAGGUUUGGAGUAAGAAAGUGACAUAAUUAAAUCAUAAUUAAAUUGUAUGUCACUCUUACCAAUUUUAAGACAAUAUUUCUGAAGUCUUUUUAAGAUGCAUGGUGGUAACACUGUUCACAAUAGCAGAGACAUGGAAUCAACCUAAAUGCCCAUCAGUGACAGAACAGAUUUUUUAAAUGUGGUACAUAUACACCAUGGAAUAUUAUUCAGCCAUAAAAACAGAAUGACAGCAUGUCUUUUGCAGGAAUGCGGAUGGAGCUGGAGGCUAUCAUCCUUAGCAAACUAACACAGGAACAGAAAACCAAAUAUCACAUGUUCUCAUUUAUAAGUGGGAGCUGAAUGAUAAGAACUUAUGAGCACAAAGAAGGAAACAACAGACACUGUGGUAUGCUUGAGGUAGGAGGGUGGGAGGAGGAAGAUGAACAGAAAAGACAACUAUUGGGUACUGAGCUUAAUACCUGGGUGAUAUAAUAAUAUGUAAAACUCCCAUGACACAUGUUUCCCCAUGUAACAAACCUUCACGUGUACCCCCAAAC